GAAAGAGGGAGAGAGAGAGAGAGAGAGAGAAAGAGGGAGAGAGAGGGAGAGAGAAAGAGGGAGAGAGGGAGAGAGAAAGAGGGAGAGAGAGGUAGAGAGGAAACCCUUUAAACUGUGCACUUUGCUUGUUCUGGAACUCGAUUAAAGCUCUUGUACGGUCGCACUACGUGUAUUCUUCUCUGCUUGAUGAAUCUCCUUGCUUGUAUUUUCUCACUUGUAAUUCUCUUUGAAUAAAAGCAUCUGCUACAUGAAUAAAUAUAAUAUGAUGUAAUGUAAUGAAAGAGGGAGAAAGAGAGCGGUAGAGAGGGAACACUUUAAACUGGAGGAAAGAGGAAAUGAAGAAAAUCUUUAAUUAGACGACUCAUUAAUCGUUCUGAUUAGCCGCUCACUCUGCUCCUCUUUUUGACCUUUGACCUCAGGGUUCUGGG